rnacentral:rRNA from 1 species
ACACGCAUGACACACUGCAUAUCAAUAAGCGGAGGAAAAGAAACUAACAAGGAUUCCCUUAGUAACGGCGAGUGAAGCGGGAAGAGCUCAAAUUUGAAAUCUUCAAGGGUUUCACCUUGACGAAUUGUAGUAUUAAAGAAGUGUUUUCUGUUGGAGUUUCGGUAAAAGUUCUUUGGAAUAGGACAUCAUAGAGGGUGAGAAUCCCGUAUUUGACCAGUUACUUUCCAGACUGUGUGAUACACUUUCAAAGAGUCGGAUUGUUUGGGAAUGCAGUCCAAAAUGGGUGGUAAAUUUCAUCUAAAGCUAAAUAUUGGCGAGAGACCGAUAGCGAACAAGUACCGUGAGGGAAAGAUGAAAGGAACUUUGAAAAGAGAGUUAAACAGUACGUGAAAUUGUCAAAAGGGAAGCGUUUGACACCAGUGUUGUUUAGUUGAAAAUCAAUUCAAUAAUUUUUGAUUUUAAGUAGUAUUGACUUCAUCAGCUUGCUGCUUUCUUUUCAGGAAAUUAUUGAAUGCACUUUUCAGUUAACAAGUCAACAUCAAUUUCUUUUGUUGUAAAAGGGUAAGAGGAAGGUGGCUUACGCUUCGGCGUAAGUGUUUAUAGCCUUUUACCUCUGCAAUCGGAGAGAUUGAGGACAGCAGCGUAGACUCCUUCGGGGUUAGAUACACUUGUGCUAAGCUAUAGCCUUGUAUAGACAACUUGUUGACUAUGCUCAGUCAUGUAGCUUACUCGCUUGUGCUAUUUUACCUACGCUUAGGAUGUUGAGCGCAUGUCUCUCUCU